rnacentral:rRNA from 1 species
ACGACUACAUAUCAGGCAUAUCAAUAAGCGGAGGAAAAGAAACUAACUAGGAUUCCCUCAGUAUCGGCGAGUGAAGCGGGAAGAGCUCAAAUUUGAAAUCUUCAAGGUUUUACCUUGACGAAUUGUAGUUUAAAGAAGUGUUUUCUGUUGGUGUUUUGGUAAAAGUUCUUUGGAAUAGGACAUCAUAGAGGGUGAGAAUCCCGUAUUUGACCAUUUCUUCCAGCUGUGUGAUACACUUUCAAAGAGUCGGAUUGUUUGGGAAUGCAGUCCAAAAUGGGUGGUAAAUUUCAUCUAAAGCUAAAUAUUGGCGAGAGACCGAUAGCGAACAAGUACCGUGAGGGAAAGAUGAAAAGAACUUUGAAAAGAGAGUUAAACAGUACGUGAAAUUGUCAAAAGGGAAGCGUUUGACACCAGUGUUGUUUUCUCGAAAAUCAAUUAAAAAUGACUGGAUUUUGUGUUGUAUUGACCUUAUCAGCUUUCUGCACUUUUUUCUUGUCUUUUUUAAUGCACUUUUCGUUUAACAAGUCAACAUCAAUUUCUUUUGUUGUAAAAAGGGUCAUUGGAAGGUGGCUUUCACUUUCGGUAGAAAGUGUUUAUAGCCUUUGACUUCUGCAAUCGGAGAGAUUGAGGUCUGCAGCGUAGAUCCUUCGGGGUUAGAUACAUUAGAUGCUAAGUUAUAGUUUUUCAUAGACAACAUUGUUGACUAUGAUUAAUCAUGUAGCUUACUCGCUUAUGCUAUUUUACCUACGCUUAGGAUGUUGAAUCUGUGCGAGACUAC